rnacentral:lncRNA from 1 species
UAAGUAUUGUAAACACCAUGAACAUUAUUUGAAGAAUUAUUGUAGAAAUUCAUUGUUGAUAACACUACUUAUAAGACUCAUUCAAAGGAUGUGUUGAUAUAUUUCAGGUAGUGAGAGCCUACUGAAUAUACAAAUUAAAUACUAUGAUUGUAAAGUACUGAUACAAUCAUCACUAGGUGGUAUUAAUGGUAUAGGAAUGUAAUUCUUGAAUACAAAUGACCUAAAGAGUUUAAGUUCACUAGAAAACAUAUGAUUCUUGGAAAUAUAAUUGGACGGGAUAUACAAGCAAUACAUGUAUUAG